rnacentral:rRNA from 1 species
AGAGUUUGAUUCUGGCUCAGAAUCAACGCUGGCGGCGUGCCUAACACAUGCAAGUCGAGCGCGAACGGGAACUUCGGUUUCCUAGUAGAGCGGCGAACGGGUGAGUAACACGUGGGUAAUCUGCCUUCGGGUGGGGAAUAACUCAGGGAAACCUGGGCUAAUACCGCAUAAAGUCGCGGACCGUCGGGUCCGUGACCAAAGCUGGGGACCCUUCGGGGCCUGGCGCCUGGAGAGGAGCCCGCGGCCAAUUAGCUUGUUGGUGAGGUAACGGCUCACCAAGGCUCCGAUUGGUAGCCGGCCUGAGAGGGCGGACGGUCACACUGGAACUGAGACACGGUCCAGACUCCUACGGGAGGCAGCAGUGAGGAAUUUUCGUCAAUGGGGGAAACCCUGAACGAGCAACGCCGCGUGGAGGACGAAGACCCUCGGGUUGUAAACUCCUGUCGGACGGGACGAAAGUCAUCGAGGUCAAUACCCUCGGUGGUUGACGGUACCGUACAAGGAAGCCCCGGCUAACUUCGUGCCAGCAGCCGCGGUAAUACGAGGGGGGCAAGCGUUGUUCGGAAUUACUGGGCGUAAAGGGCGCGUAGGCGGUUUGGCAAGUCUCUCGUGAAAGCCCACGGCUCAACCGUGGAACUGCGGGAGAAACUGCCAGACUUGAGUCCGGGAGGGGGGAGUGGAAUUCCCAGUGGAGCGGUGAAAUGCGUAGAUAUUGGGAGGAACACCGGAGGCGAAGGCGUCUCCCUGGACCGGUACUGACGCUGAAGCGCGAAAGCGUGGGUAGCGAACGGGAUUAGAAACCCCGGUAGUCCACGCCGUAAACGAUGUACAUUAGGCGUUCGGCUAGGUUGCUAGUUGAGUGUCGCAGCAAACGCGCUAAAUGUACCGCCUGGGGAGUACGGUCGCAAGGCUAAAACUCAAAGGAAUUGACGGGGGCCCGCACAAGCAGCGGAGCGUGUGGUUUAAUUCGAGGCUGCGCGAAGAACCUUACCUGGGAAUGACAUGUCGGUAGUACGGAAGCGAAAGCGGAAGGACCCUUCGGGGAGCCGUCACAGGUGCUGCAUGGUUGUCGUCAGCUCGUGCCGUGAGGUGUUCGGUUAAGUCCGCAAACGAGCGCAACCCUCGGUGCUAGUUACAAGUGUCUAGCAUGACUGCCCGUGACAAACGGGAGGAAGGUGGGGAUGACGUCAAAUCAGCAUGGCCUUAAUAUCCAGGGCGACACACACGCUACAAUGGACGGUACAAUGGGUGGCGAAGCAGCGAUGCGGAGCGAAUCCUUCAAAGCCGUUCUCAGUUCGGAUUGCAGGCUGCAACUCGCCUGCAUGAAGGUGGAAUCGCUAGUAACCGCGAAUCAGCACGUUGCGGUGAAUACGUUCCCGGGCCUUGUACACACCGCCCGUCACGUCAUGGGAGUUGGUCGAGCCUGAAGUCGGGAAGCCAACCGUUAGGGGGCUACUGCCUAGGGCAGGGUCGAUGACUGGGACGAAGUCGUAACAAGGUAGCUGUAGCGGAAGCUGCGGCUGGAUCACCUCCUUUCU